rnacentral:rRNA from 1 species
GAUGAACGCUGGCGGCGUGCAUAACACAUUCAAGUCGAACGAGGUAGCAAUACCUAGUGGCGGACGGGUGAGUAACGCGUGAGCAACCUGCCCUUGUGUGGGGGAUACCGUCUGGAAACGGACGUUAAUACCGCAUAACAUAGCGGAAUCGCAUGGUUCUGCUAUCAAAGAUUUAUUGCGCAAGGAUGGGCUCGCGUUGGAUUAGAUAGUUGGUGAGGUAACGGCCCACCUAGCCUUCGAUCAUUAGGGGUUCUGAGAGGAAGGUCCCCCACACUGGAACUGAGACGCGGUCCAGACUCCUACGGGAGGCAGCAGUGAGGAAUAUUGGUCAAUGGUCGAGAGACUGAACCAGCCAUGCCGCGUGAAGGAUACGGCCCUAUGGGUCUUAACUUCUUUGUAAGGGAGCAAUAAGGGUCACGUGUGGUCUGAUGAGAGUACCUUACGAAUAAGCAUCGGCCAACUCCGUG